CCUACGGGAGGCAGCAGUGGGGAAUCUUGCGCAAUGGGCGAAAGCCUGACGCAGCCAUGCCGCGUGAAUGAUGAAGGUCUUAGGAUUGUAAAAUUCUUUCACCGGGGACGAUAAUGACGGUACCCGGAGAAGAAGCCCCGGCUAACUUCGUGCCAGCAGCCGCGGUAAUACGAAGGGGGCUAGCGUUGCUCGGAAUUACUGGGCGUAAAGGGAGCGUAGGCGGACAUUUAAGUCAGGGGUGAAAUCCCAGAGCUCAACUCUGGAACUGCCUUUGAUACUGGGUGUCUUGAGUGUGAUAGAGGUAUGUGGAACUCCGAGUGUAGAGGUGAAAUUCGUAGAUAUUCGGAAGAACACCAGUGGCGAAGGCGACAUACUGGAUCAUUACUGACGCUGAGGCUCGAAAGCGUGGGGAGCAAACAGGAUUAGAUACCCUGGUAGUCCACGCCGUAAACGAUGAUUGCUAGUUGUUGGGAUGUUUACAUCUCGGUGACGCAGCUAACGCAUUAAGCAAUCCGCCUGGGGAGUACGGUCGCAAGAUUAAAACUUAAAUGAAUUGACGG
rnacentral:rRNA from 1 species